UGUGAGGCAAUCAGCGAUAAAUCAGCUGAUCGAAAGAGAGGAAAGACAAUCACGGUUACCAUCGAGAUUGAUCUCCUCGGUACUCCUUGACAAGCCUUGCCGCAACCAUUGAGAUGGACGUCCUCGCCUCAUCCAACUUGGUCUUAGCCGCCACCUCCUUGGUGGUAAGGCAGACUUAACAACUCUAUGUACAUGAGCAUGCUCAGGUUGCAGCACCUUGAUGCAGGUGUCUCAAGUUGGUGUAUUUCAGCCUUGCCAAUGGGAAGCAACACCGCUUCCGACUGAAGCAAUAG